CCAUCCAACUUUUGGACUGAUUAUGGAGAUGAAGAGAGAUGAGGCAUCCAACUCUUGGACCAAGAAAGAGAGAAAGAAAACAUGUCCAUCUCAUGGACAUUAGAAAAGAGGAAGGGAAAGGAAUCAUCCAUCUCAUGGAUGUGUUGGAUGUAUGCCCUAGAAGUCAAUCUUGACUUCUGAUCAAAAUCUCUGUAAGAACACUAGCACCCCGAUGAGAUCAAAAGGCUUCUGAUCAGAUCAAAGUCUCAUGUCGAUAUCUGUAGAGGUCGGAUGCUUGUGCGGCUAAAAGAAAUCUUUAGAAGACAUCCAUGAUUAUCUAUUCGCGUUGA
rnacentral:lncRNA from 1 species